UAGACGAAAAACAUGUAUGUAACAACUAACAUUGUACAGAAGCUCAUGUUUAUAAUAACAACGUUAUCGUUACAAACACGUUAGAAAACUACUUCUAAUCUAACGCCACUAUAUCUGUACACUAAAUUGUGAGAUUUAUAUAAAAGAGAGCUUAAACUCUUUCACCCGCGAAUUUCAUAUUAUGCCAUCGAGAGAUAUAAAAGCACAAACAGUAACAUAUGAUAUACCUAUAUUCUUCGGGAGAAACUUUACCCACUGAUUUUCCUUUGCAUCUCUACGCGAAUUCCUAGCUCCCUUCUCCAUAAUAAGUCAUAACUGAGAAAAGCCAUUUGCAUUUAGAACGCUGAUACGAAUGCUAUUUCACAUGGAAGCGCGCUGAUAACCCCGAAAUGUAAAAAUAUCGUGUGCACAUUAUACAAACAACCGCUUUAUCUGUUUCAGCGAGCUAUAAAAAAUCUCGCACACACAUCCUACCAACAUUUUCCCGCGGAGGAGACAGUCGCGUAAAAAAAAUGCAUCUAGAAAACACCCGUGGUAAUAAAAAUCUCAUCGAAUUCCGACCACUCCGUGAUCUAUACUUCCGAGUAUUGAUUCGUGCUGCCAUCUUCUGGUUAUAUACGAUACGAACUUACGCACUUGUGCGACAUAAGACACAAGUUCUUAACCUCUAGGUCACAACGCACCAACUUUGUCAACGAAAGUACUCAAUGACUGCAUAACCUUUGCUCCUCUUGGUGUAACGGCAACAGCAAUUAAACCAAACCAAACAUUAUAUUACAACUGAACUAAUCGCAGGCAUGGAUUGAUGAGAUAGGUCAGCAUUUAGGUCUCAGUCAAGAGGUCAAGGACCAAAUGUUUUCACGAGCAACGAUAACACGCGAAACGAAUUACAUGGUUACCGACCAGAUCACUGAGAUCACACACACUGCUCGAAU